rnacentral:rRNA from 1 species
AUUGAACGCUGGCGGCAGGCCUAACACAUGCAAGUCGAACGGUAGCACAGAGAGCUUGCUCUCGGGUGACGAGUGGCGGACGGGUGAGUAACGGCUGGGAAACUGCCCGAUGGAGGGGGAUAACUACUGGAAACGGUAGCUCAUACCGCAUAACGUCGCAAGACCAAAGUGGGGGACCCUCGGGCCUCACACCCUCGGAUGUGCCCAGAUGGGAUUAGCUAGUAGGUGGGGUAAUGGCUCACCUAGGCGACGAUCCCUAGCUGGUCUGAGAGGAUGACCAGCCACACUGGAACUGAGACACGGUCCAGACUCCUACGGGAGGCAGCAGUGGGGAAUAUUGCACAAUGGGCGCAAGCCUGAUGCAGCCAUGCCGCGUGUAUGAAGAAGGCCUUCGGGUUGUAAUGUACUUUCAGCGGGGAGGAAGGCGGUGAAGUUAAUAACUUCACCGAUUGACGUUACCCGCAGAAGAAGCACCGGCUAACUCCGUGCCAGCCGCCGCCGUAA